AGCGAACGUUAGCGGCAGGCCUAACACAUGCAAGUCGCACGAGAAUCCGGCUUCGGCCGGUAGUAAAGUGGCGGACGGGUGAGUAACACGUGGAUAAUCUGCCCUUCGGCGGGGGACAACAGUCCGAAAGGAUUGCUAAUACCGCGUAAGUCGGCGAGGUCUUCGGAUCUUGUCGGGAAAGAUGGCCUCUUCAUGAAAGCUAUCGCCGAAGGAUGAGUCCGCGUCCCAUCAGCAGUUGGCGGGGUAAUGGCCCACCAAGGCUUAGACGGGUAGCUGGUCUGAGAGGAUGAUCAGCCACACUGGAACUGAGACACGGUCCAGACUCCUACGGGAGCAGCAGUGGGGAAUAUUGGGCAAUGGGCGCAAGCCUGACCCAGCCAUGCCGCGUGAGUGAUGAAGGCCCUUC
rnacentral:rRNA from 1 species